CAGACGACACUUUCAACCCUCACCGACGCACGACGCACCACUAGGCGGUGCCCUGCAACCCUGUCCUCCGGCGUUCCCUAGGAAACCACCCACUCGUGCAAGCCAUCUCCGCCACUGCAGCCAGAUCCGGUGCAGGGCUGCCACCGCCUCCGACCAACAAGAAUUGAGGUUCUCCAUCACCGGUUGCCGUCCGGCGCGCAGAACGUCGCCCUCCACGGAUCCAGGUGCGCCGGUCAGAUCCAACAUCGGGAGCUCCGACACAUGCAUCAGGACCGAGCUGCUACCCUGCAGUCUCAACGCGCCCAUCGUCAGCCACCUCAACGACCUCCUCAAGAUCGGGAUCCACCACCGCCCAGUUCCCCAGAAGCGACGACGACGGCUCUUGAACGACUUCCCCUGCUCCGGCUAAAGUGCCCCUUUAAAUUGUGGAGCGGCAUCGCUCAUCAGGUUGGUGUUGCACCUUUCAUCCAAAAUCAUGGCAUGAUGUCCAGGUUGCUCAUAGUUCACUUGCGUUCCCUCUUGCAUUAUAGACCUCAAAAGCACAUAUGUGGUAUCAUAUUUUUCAUGGCAUCCUCAGGGUACAAUUGUACAACACGCCUCCCCCUACCUCCUAUCUCCUCCAUGUUCAGAUCGAUCUAGGGUUCGCAGGAUUUUUGUCGACGUGUUUGACUUCUGGUGAAGAUGUUGGAUCCGGUCAAGGGCACCAGAAAGUGGUUUAACACCAAAAAGUGGUUCUCAGGGUAACGUCAACUACAUAUGGAGCAUAUAUCUAUCAGCGUUUCGAUAUUUCCCUUCUUUGUUCUCUCCCUCCCUCUUAUUCUCAAUUCCUCAAAAAUUUCUUCAGUGUUAUGUGAUGCUGCUGUUGAUGUAGAUACGUUCAACUGAUAUUCCUAGGAGAAGUUUCCCUUUACCUUUUAUUUCUGGGGCAACUGCCAUAACAUCCCAGGGUGCAAUGGCUUGCCAAUUAAAUCCCCUAAUCUGUCUAAUGUUUCUUUGUGCAGAUGUUUUGAUCUUUGUCGGCAAGGUCUUUGAUGAAACAGGUGUGAUUGUAAAAAAAUUUCAUAAAGCAGGUCAUUAUUUGCAAUUUUGAAGAGAAGGAUUCAAAAUAUUGCCAGUUAUGUGCCGUAAGAAUAAUAUCGGGUGUCUCUUCUUGAUAGGUAUGAUAUAUUGCUGUCUUUAUAAUCUUUAUUAUUAUAUAGAUUGAACGACCAGUUCUGUCACAGUUCAUUAUUCGUACAAAUAGCUGAUUUUGUUGAGAAAAGCUUUGUUUUAUACUUCUAUAUAAUUGCAAGCCCUAUCUGCAGAUUCUUUUUGAAUAUUUGUCGACAAGUUUUAUGAUGAAAAAGAAAGCAGGCCAUCGAUCUUACUUAUGUUGUAUAUCUAUUCUCAGCCGUCAUUGUUUUCCUAAGUCCGAUGCAUACUUCCAAGAAGCGUACAAUUUCAAAAGUGUUUCUACAGCACCAAAUAUAUUGACGCACUUUCAGGUCUCCUAUGUCCAGUCUUAUUCCUUCUAAUAUCUUCUUCAUGGUAAACAUUAUGAGGUCAUAUUCUUCUUGCAUUCAUUCACUAAGUUGUCUUUCUUUUGUGUCCGCUUUUUUUCGAAAAGGAGGAUUACCCCUGGCCUCUGCAUCGAGUCAUGCACACAGCCAUCUUUAUUAAAUAUUCACUAAGUUGUCUUUCUUUUGUGUCAGCUACCUUAUAUCUCCUAACAGUAACGUUAUAGGUGAAGCUGCCGCUAACAAAGAUUGAAGCAUGCAUGCAGACUUGCCAAACAAGGUCUAUUUACUAUUUUUUUUGUAUGUAUAAUGCCGAGAAAGUAAUAUUUUUUGUAUGUAUCAAUAUCUUCCCAUUCAACAGAUUAUGUGUAUUAAAUUGAUUUGUAUGCUCUUCAGAUCUGUA